rnacentral:rRNA from 1 species
AACGAACGCUGGCGGCAGGCCUAACACAUGCAAGUCGAACGCCCCGCAAGGGGAGUGGCAGACGGGUGAGUAACACGUGGGAACCUUCCCUAUAGUACGGAAUAGCCCAGGGAAACUUGGAGUAAUACCGUAUACGCCCGAAAGGGGAAAGAAUUUCGCUAUAGGAUGGGCCCGCGUAGGAUUAGCUAGUUGGUGAGGUAAUGGCUCACCAAGGCGACGAUCCUUAGCUGGUUUGAGAGAACGACCAGCCACACUGGGACUGAGACACGGCCCAGACUCCUACGGGAGGCAGCAGUGGGGAAUAUUGGACAAUGGGCGCAAGCCUGAUCCAGCCAUGCCGCGUGAGUGAUGAAGGCCUUAGGGUUGUAAAGCUCUUUUGCCGGGGACGAUGAUGACGGUACCCGGAGAAUAAGUCCCGGCUAACUUCGUGCCAGCAGCCGCCGUAAAAC